rnacentral:lncRNA from 1 species
UGCCGGCGGCGAGCCCCGCGAGGCCGCAGGCGAGGCCGGAGGAGAGGUGCGCGUAGCCGUCGAAGAGGAAGUAGGGCUUGGCCUUGGGGUUGAUCCCGGUGGAGAUGAUGACGGCGAUGAUGAGGCCGUAGAUCCCGAGCACCCCCGCCAUGACCACGGGCACGAUGGACUUCAUCACCAGCUCCGGCCGCAUCACCCCCAUCGACGCCACCCCCACCCCGCUCUUCGCCGUCCCGUACGCCGCCCCCAUGCCUGCAUCACACCACGCGCGUCAGAUCCGUCGGUCAGAUCGCCGAUCUGGAGGAGGGGGAGGGGGCUUACAGGAGAAGACGAGGGCCGCGGCGGCGCCAAGGAAGCCGAAGAAGGGGGCGGUCUCGUCGCCGCUGAAGGUGGAGGCCAUGGCUGCCGGCGGGGGAGGGGAUCUCGCCGGAGAUUGGACGGCGACGGCGACGUCGGGUGGAGGAGAGAGAGGGGAUGGGAGAGGGAGGAG